rnacentral:lncRNA from 1 species
UUCAUUCAUUCUCUGAAUCGCAACCUUUACGAUUUUUUUUUAUACAAAAAUCAUAUUUAUUAUAUGAUUUGUAUAAUCUGAGUAAACGUAUUAAAAGCUUAAGUCUCAAUACUUCAUAUCUUUUCUAUCGAUGAUUCACUUAUUUCAGAAUCAUAUCUAUUCUCAUUUCAGAAUAAAUAUUAUUUAUUUAUUCAACAUUUCAAAUUAUACAUAACUGUCAAUUACAUUUAGCAAAACUAUCAAUCGUAGCUUUAUACCAUUUCUAAUUCAAAGAAAUGUAUUCAUUUUGCACAUCGUUCAAUCUUCAUCAUCCGUACGUAUAGCAAGUAAUAUUGCUUAACAUCAUUAACCUGCAAAAAGUUUGUGUUUGCAAGAUUGAGCUCAACAGUCCAACAAAUUUAACAGUCUAUCAUGUUUCACAUAGCACACAAUUCCAUAUGCACUAUAUUUCCUUUACUAUGCAUAUCCGCAUGCAAGAGAUAUUUCUUUACUAUGCAUAUCCUACAUGCAUCAAUCAUUUCUUACAAAGCAUACAUUCAUGCAUUAUACAUUUCUAACUUAUCGAUUUACUUCAUACAACAUGUUCUAUGACAUAUCACAUAUAAAUUGAGUUCCAUAACCCAAUUAACUUAGUCAUAUUUUGACUUUAACAAUUCAUAAAGCAUGGUAUGUAGCUCACCACAUAAUCACAUUUAAUCCACAAACAUAAUAGAACUGAAAAACAUGCCUUGUACAAUGACCAUUGAUACAAACUUUAGUUUAACUUCACUUUACGAAUCCUACACAAUUAUAUUCACAUGUAUACAUUAGCCACAUAUUCACGCUACAUAACUUCUACAGCUAUAAACAUUCAUAUAAGCCAUAACAACAUCUCUUUAUGUUUGUUUUUGAAAAAAAUUCUUAUUUCUUUAGAAAUUUCAGAGUUUAGGCUUAAUACAGCCACCAACUUGCAAAAAGUUUCAACACAACUUUUUAAACAUCAGUACAUUGCAUUUAUAGUUUAUAAAACUUUUAUAAUGCAUUUACGGACUUUACACGCAUCUAUAUGUAGACUUGUAGUCAUAUAGUGCAUCUGUGCCUUUACUUUGCGUAAAUAUAGCUUAUUUUCGCUUUUGUGAGUAAUUUAAAUACUAUUCCACACGAAUAUUAGCUUUCUAGGCUUAAUGCAUUCAUAUUACAUUACUUUUUCCCAUUUCAUGUACACAUGAGCCAUAUAUAUUUUUUAAUAUACGCCUCUCUUAUAAUGUCAAACAUUGCCUCAUUUGCUUGAUUUGUAGGUAGACAUAUGCUAUUUGUAUGUCUUAUACCUACACAUAGCUUAUUUAUGUCAAGCGUUGAGUAUUCAACUCCGUUUACACAAUUCUCACUUUGUAUUUCAAAACCGUUUAGUUUCAAGUAUGAUUUUAAAAAUAGCUUUGCACACAGUCCACGUAUUCCCGAUAUACAGAUGUAUUAUCCAUAUAUAUAUAUAAACUUAUGUUCACAUAUAAAAACAUAUUUGUUACGCGUCCAUGUCAUAUAACUUGCAUAGUUAUAUAUUACAUAUCCAUAUUGGCCGCAUCCUUGAAAAUUUCUUAUAUUUUUCUCAAAAACAUUUACUCUUUUACACGCGACAGUCUUUUAUCCCUUUAACAAACCUUGACAUGAUUUUAGUUCAUGAAUACGACACACUUUCAGUUUCUAACCUUCUUGUAUCUUAAUACAUGGGUAUUCCAUACUUCUUAUUCCUUAACUCACGUAUACAACGUAUAUUCAUAGCUCAUUUCAUGCACCAAAUAUAAUUAUCACUUGUAUAGGUAAAUUAUAACCUCCGUAAUAAUUUAUAGUUUCAUUUCCAUGAAUUUACGGUUUAAAUACUAUCGCGUUACCAUACAAUGCCAAAACAGUCCCUCUAAGCAUUAACAGUCCCUUAUUGUCAAGCUCUGUCGGCAGCCAAGCCUUGCUUGGCCCUGUGGGGCUCAGCCGGGCUUGGCGUAGCCUCACUUGGCCCUGCGGCCCCAAUUUUUGAACGCUCACCUUUGCUAACUUUUAUCUUCUAAAGUACCCAUUCAUUCAUAUAGAAUACUAGUAAUUGCUCGUGCCUGAAGGCACGACGUAACAAAAAAUUAGAUUAAAAUUUGAAAAAUACUAUAUUACCUCUAAAGACUUUUUACAACUUAAAAUUACUUACAAUCACACAUAACAAUUAUCAUAAUUUACCACACUACCACAAUAAUUAAUUUUUCUUUAAAAAAAGAUAUUCAGAAAAAUCUAAACUUGUCUACAAAACUUACAAUCAUCAAUAACAAUUAUCAUAAUUCACCAUACCACCACAAUGCACAAUAAUAAUUAUUAUUGUUAUUAUUAUUGUGGUGGUUGUUGUUGUUAUUAUUAUUAUUAUUAUUAUUAUUAUUAUUAUUAUUAUUAUUAUUAUUAUUAUUAUUGUUGUUGUUGUUGUUGUUAUUUUUAUUGUUAUUAUUAUUAGUAGUUGUAGUAGUAUUAUUAUUAUUAUUAUUAUUACUAUUAUUAUUAUUAUUAUUAUAAUUAUUAUUAUUAUUUGUUUGUGUGUGUGAAGAAGAGAGGAGAGAGAAAGAUUUUGUGUGUGAACAUGAGAGAGAGUAAAGUGUAGUGGUGAAUUUGAUUUAGGCGGGAAGAAAUAUGAGCAUUUAGAUUAAGUUGAAAAAAUUAAGUUAGAAUGAAUCUGAACCAUCAUUGUGCUUUGUCAAAUGAAAGAUUCAAAAUAGGUUCUAUUUUAUUAUAUAGAUUAUUAUAUUAUAAUAAUAAUAAUAAUUAUUAUUAGUAGUAGUAUUAGUAUUUUUAUUACUAUUAUUAUAUAUAAUUAUUAGUAGUAGUAUAGUAGUAGUACUAUUAUAAUUAUUAUUAGUACUAUUAUUAUUAUUAUUAUUUAUUUGUGUGUGAAGAAGAGAGAAUGGAGAGAUUUUGUGUAUGAACAUGAGAGAGAGUAUGGUAUAUGGGUGAAUUUGAUUUGGGCGGAAAGAAAUAUAAGCCUUUAGAUUAAGUUGAAAAAAUUAAGUUAGAAUGAAUCUGAACCGUCCUUGUGCUUUGUCAAAUGAAAGAUUCAAAAUAGGUUCUGUUUUAUUAUAUAGAUUAUAUAUUUUUAUAACUCUUGUACUUGUUUAUUUAAGGAAAUUAUAAGCAAGCCUUUUUGGUACAUCAAUAAUCUAAAGCAUAAAGUCAUCACAAAUCCAACCCAAAUAUUGCAUGCUUCUGCCGAUGAUAUCUGCUGCUACCACUGGGCAACAACUCCUUUUCUUGCCCCAUGCUUUGACAAAUCUUUACUUCUCACAUUCUUGAUUUUCUUACGUUGAAUGUUGAAUCUUGGGUAUUAUGUAGGUGAUACACUCACCUAUUACAAAAAAAAAAGUAUUAACUGGGCAAUCCUAGCAAUCUAAAUGUGCUGAUUGAGAGCCCAAGAGAUCCCCCAGCUGACGCCAAACAUAGCCUCUGCUGCUGCUGUGGGCAGCAGCCCUGUUCCCUACAUAGUCACUUCGCAAUCUUAUAACUUUUGGCUCACACAUCGCAUUGUGUUGAUUUUAGAAUAUGACAUACUUGGUGUAUGAGACUAUUUUUAGAAAAUAUUAGCCAUGCAUUCCGGACACGUUAAACCACUCAAAACCGUGUGCCAAAGUGGCCAUCUGCAGUUGCUACUGCUGCUGGGCAGCAGCCCCUGUUGCGGCGUAGCAACUUUGCAGAUUUUUAGUUUCUAUCUCAUAAGUCCGAUGACAUUCAACUUUGGAUAUGCUGUAAACAUCAUAUUAACCUAUUUUUUGAAAUUAUUGGACACCCAUUUCGGAUUAGAUAGACAGUCCAAAACAGUGUUCAAAAGGGGCGUUCAAAACUGUUUUUCAUUCUUUCCCAGCUUUACCCUCUCUCGCUAAAACAGUCAUAACCAAUUCGUUUUAAAACAUUUUUUAGCGAUUCUUGCGCCCACGCGAAGCUAACUUCUGGGGCUACAACUCCUAUUCAAUAACCUUUUCCAAAUUCUGCACCCAUAAUUCCAGAAAAUUCGUGUAAGGGACAGGUUCGAAUCUGACUUCCAAAUUUUGGACAGAUUUGACACGCUUACUUUGGAAUGCCAUAACUCCCUCCCCCGAAGUCGGAAUUAGUCCGUUCCAGAGGCUAUGGAUAGCUGGGAUUGCAUACUACAAGACCCCAGAAAAUUAUAAUUUUCCAGCAAGUCUAACUAGCCGAAAUAGUUAGCACAAAAGUAGCUUAACACACUAACUUUCGAUUUUUCGUUUCGAGUUAAAACUUGCUCUGGCUUGGUUAAAUGCCACGAGACUCUCCAAUUAUCUUAGUUUGGAUCAUACGAAGCUAUCUUAAGUAUCGGCUUCGUCUCUUUCUUCGUUUUUAAUCAAAACAGUCCAUAGAGGACUUUUGACAAACAAGUGGUGUACGCUGUUUUGAUACACAACUUUCAUAGCCAUUUGCUUAUACUACAAUCCCUUUAUAUCCUCCUUAUAUCAUCACACAACCAAGCCUAAACUCCUUUGCUCUAUUUCAAUUCAAAGCAGUUCAUUUCACAGUUAAAUAUACUAUUAACCAACUAAUGGAGUAAUUCUCAUAUAGCAUAAUAUAAAUAUCGCAGAGGGGUAUACCUCUUAGUUUGCUGCAAAUUUCCAGUUCAAUGAUGUUAUAGUGCUCCUUAAUGCCGAAUUUAGUUUCAAUUUUUUUUCCACAGCUGAAAUUCCCUUGAGCUCUUUUCCCUCUUUAGCCGAACCCAACAAAUUCUAGAAAUUUUAGGGACUUGGUUUGGCCCGAAUGGUUUAUGUAUACUCAGCAGCUAAAAAAACGAAAUGGAAUGGAACGGGUGGAGUAGAAGAAUGAGGAAAGCUAAUAUUGCUUAUGGUUUGAUACAGCUCCAUAUAUUAUUAGAUUACCAUUUAGUGGCCUUCUCAAUUUACUAGUAUUAGCUUACUCAUUCUAAAAUGAAGCCACCUCCUUCUUGGUUAAUACUAUUCAGUCAUCUCAGGCUUAUUAACAUAGCCUCACGUUUUUUUUUAAAACUCACUUGGUUCCAAUAUAA